rnacentral:rRNA from 1 species
UACGUAGGGGGCAAGCGUUGUCCGGAAUCAUUGGGCGUAAAGAGCGUGUAGGCGGUCCGGUAAGUCGGCUGUGAAAGUCCAGGGCUCAACCCUGGGAUGCCGGUCGAUACUGCCGGACUAGAGUUCGGAAGAGGCGAGCGGAAUUCCCGGUGUAGCGGUGAAAUGCGCAGAUAUCGGGAGGAACACCUAUGGCGAAGGCAGCUCGCUGGGACGUUACUGACGCUGAGACGCGAAAGCGUGGGGAGCAAACAGG